rnacentral:rRNA from 1 species
AGUGAACGCUGGCGGUAGGCCUAACACAUGCAAGUCGAACGGCAGCACAGUAAGAGCUUGCUCUUACGGGUGGCGAGUGGCGGACGGGUGAGGAAUGCAUCGGAAUCUACUUUUUCGUGGGGGAUAACGUAGGGAAACUUACGCUAAUACCGCAUACGACCUACGGGUGAAAGCAGGGGAUCUUCGGACCUUGCGCGAUUGAAUGAGCCGAUGUCGGAUUAGCUAGUUAGCGGGGUAAAGGCCCACCAAGGCGACGAUCCGUAGCUGGUCUGAGAGGAUGAUCAGCCACACUGGAACUGAGACACGGUCCAGACUCCUACGGGAGGCAGCAGUGGGGAAUAUUGGACAAUGGGCGCAAGCCUGAUCCAGCCAUACCGCGUGGGUGAAGAAGGCCUUCGGGUUGUAAAGCCCUUUUGUUGGGAAAGAAAAGCAGCAGGUUAAUACCCCGCUGUUCUGACGGUACCCAAAGAAUAAGCACCGGCUAACUUCGUG